rnacentral:rRNA from 1 species
ACGGAAGGCAGCAGUGGGGAAUAUUGCACAAUGGGCGCAAGCCUGAUGCAGCGAUGCCGCGUGAGGGAAGAAGGUUUUCGGAUUGUAAACCUCUGUCAACAGGGACGAAGAAGACGGUACCUGUGAAGGAAGCUCCGGCUAACUACGUGCCAGCAGCCGCGGUAAUACGUAGGGGGCAAGCGUUAUCCGGAUUUACUGGGUGUAAAGGGAGCGUAGACGGUUCUGCAAGUCUGAUGUGAAAGGCAGGGGCUCAACUCCUGGACUGCAUUGGAAACUGUAGAACUAGAGUGCCGGAGAGGUAAGCGGAAUUCCUAGUGUAGCGGUGAGAUGCGUAGAUAUUAGGAGGAACACCAGUGGCGAAGGCGGCUUACUGGACGGUAACUGACGUUGAGGCUCGAAAGCGUGGGGAGCAAACAGGAUUAGAUACCCUGGUA